rnacentral:rRNA from 1 species
AUUGAACGCUGGCGGCAUGCUUUACACAUGCAAGUCGAACGGCAGCGCGGGCUUCGGCCUGGCUGCGAGUGGCGAACGGGUGAGUAAUACAUCGGAACGUGCCCAGCAGGGGGGGAUAGCUCGGCGAAAGCCGGAUUAAUACCGCAUACGACCUGAGGGUGAAAGCGGGGGAUCUUCGGACCUCGCGCUAUUGGGGCGGCCGAGGGCAGAUUAGCUAGUUGGUGGGGUAAGGGCCUACCAAGGCGACGAUCGGUAGCUGGUCUGAGAGGACGACCAGCCACACUGGGACUGAGACACGGCCCAGACUCCUACGGGAGGCAGCAGUGGGGAAUUUUGGACAAUGGGCGAAAGCCUGAUCCAGCAAUGCCGCGUGUGUGAUGAAGGCCUUCGGGUUGUAAAGCACUUUUGGCGGGAACGAAAAGGACUGUGCCAAUACCACGGUUCGAUGACGGUACCCGCAGAAUAAGCACCGGCUAACUACGUG